CUCUGGAUGGGACCCCAAGGACCUGUGCUUGUGUCUGGGUGGGAUCAGCCCUUCCCCUGCUCUGCAGCAGCACAGACACAUGAGCAGUGCUGAAAGAUGGCAUAAAAAUGCAAUGAAAAGGAGCUUUAGAAUGCUCAGGAAGGCAAAUUGACGAGGACUUGAGGUGUACUCUUGUGUCAGAUUAAACUGUGAUUCAUGGCCAGGAAGAUUACAUUUAAAUGUACCUGCUGUGGAAAGUUCUCGUCGCCGUUUCUGGACGUGCUUCUCCCCUAGCAGCCAGAGGUUGUUCUGGAAGCAGCACGUGCUCGUACCUGCAGAGGUAUCUGUUCCUCCUGCUCUGACCCAAAGCCUUGGUGCUGCCACCCCUCCUUCGCCCCUGGGUCCUGGUUUAUUUUGAGUCCUUCGGCCACAGCAAGCCCAGAGCAGGGCCUCUCCCUAGCUCUGCUGCAGACCAUCAACCUGGAUAAAAAAAAAUUUGCAAUUCCCAAACAGAAGGGAGCGGAGAAAAUGGCACAUCGCACAUCGUUGAUUGGGCUAGGGAAAGACAAAGAAAGAAGAGGUGGACUGGAUAUUGUGCGGAGCAGGGAC
rnacentral:lncRNA from 1 species